AAUUACAGUAGACUGUUUGGAGGCCUCAUAUUUCUACAAGUCUCAGUAUAUUGUUUGAAACCCAACAGCCCUGGCAGGGAAAGAAUUAACUCUAAAUGUAUUCAGUGGAUUUGUAAAAAGAAAGCUUGCGAAGUGGACAUAGUUGUCACAGCAAAGAUAAAAUCAGAGAUCUAAGAAACAUCAACUCUAUUGUAAGCACAGAAACACAAAAAUGAGUAAGUCACAGUCCUCAGGAUGGGUAGAACAUGAGGAGAAAGCCAGGCACAUAAAUAAAGUGUGACAACUCACAGGUAAGGACUAAGGCAAAGA
rnacentral:lncRNA from 1 species